rnacentral:rRNA from 1 species
GUAAGGAAUAUUGGACAAUGGGGGAAACCCUGAUCCAGCCAUGCCGCGUGAGUGAAGAAGGCCUUCGGGUUGUAAAGCUCUUUCAGAUGUGAAGAUGAUGACGGUAACAUCAGAAGAAGCUCCGGCUAACUUCGUGCCAGCAGCCGCGGUAAUACGAAGGGAGCGAGCGUGGUUCGGAAUCACUGGGCGUAAAGAGUGCGUAGGCGGUUAUACAAGUCAGGAGUGAAAUCCCAGGGCUCAACCCUGGAAUUGCUUUUGAAACUGUAUAGCUAGAGUCCCGGAGGGGUUAAUGGAAUUCCGAGUGUAGAGGUGAAAUUCGCAGAUAUUCGGAGGAACACCAGUGGCGAAGGCGAUUAACUGGACGGGCACUGACGCUGAGGCACGAAAGCGUGGGGAUCAAACAGGAUUAGAUACCCGGGUAGUCC